rnacentral:lncRNA from 1 species
CUACUUGUCUUUAGGUCCAAACCCAAGUCUUGGAUGUGUCCACAUUCACCAGAAAGCCGCAAAAGGGAACUCAAGAAACACGGGAACAUCUUACAUUUGCUCUAUUGCUUAGGCCUUUCCAGGAUCAUGUGGCCACCACAUGGAAGAAAGAAGAGUGGAUGGAGUGGCAGGGAGAGGAUCAAGCCAAAAAGAAAGCUUCUCCCUGGGAGAGUAGCCUCAUCCCCAUACUGCGUCCAUGUGGGCUGGCUGACUGAGAAACACCCAGAGACUUGAUGUCUGCCAAGUCUGAGAACACUGCUGUUCUGAAAAGAUGUUCCUGCAAGCUGGGAGGUUAAGAAGGUCUC